rnacentral:lncRNA from 1 species
UUGAAUCCAAUUUUUUGGUGCCAUUAUUGUUUGGGAUAUACGAAUAUAAUUGUAUGAUAAAAUGUUACGGAUGCGAUUGCUUUAGACAAUGGUUAUGGAAAGGAUGAAGAUUCCAAAGAAAAAGCGAUCAUCGUUGACAAUAACAAAUUACCACCAGUUCUUCCAACCUCAAUCAUCACCCGAUCAACAUUCAGAAGAUUCUUUAUAGUACAAACUGGGAAGUUUGAACAAAACAACAAAUUAGAUUUAAAUAAUUUAUAAAAACAGUAACUCAACCAUCUUUUGCAGACAUUAUAUUUAUGCAAAUAGGAUUGCCAGUCACUUACACAUAAUCAUACAGCAGUAACAAUUCUUAUUCAUGCCUAUAUUAGGUUGAGAUAUUUCCAGAAGAUUGGCUGGGGCUUUCUGUCUUGGGAUAUUUAUUAAAUGAAAACUAACACAACAACACCUACAAGAGGGAUAUAAAAUCAAUCGAAUCAUGCACCAGCCAAAAAUACUUCACUACCAUCACUGAAAAGUAUCACUCAGAAAAUAAAUUGUUUCUAUAUUACCUCUCCUUUGGAAAAGCAAGGGUGCCAAACAAUUUCAAUGGGAAGCNUGAUAAUAUAUACCCGAGACUGGCACGAUCCCGGUGAGGGUCGUAUCCACUAAAACUUGCUAAGUGCUGAAGAAAGACUUGGACUAAUGUGGACAGUCUUAUCUGGAAAAUCAAACAUCUUUCAUGUUCUUCUUGCAAUCAUAUCUGCAGAAGAAGCACCCACAAACAUCCCUGCAAUAAGUACACAAUAUGNGCAAGGGAAGAAUUGAAAAAGAAAGAUAACUUUUAUAAGAUCAAACUCUGAUAUUGAAUGACANAAUCCAUUUAUUAAACAAUUUAGUAAAAAACUAAAGCCAAUAAAAUAAUACAACGGACUAUGAAAAAGAAAACACCUCCACAUGCUUCAAAUAAUCUGGAGCAUCUGAUUGAUGCAUGUAUUUCACACCUUCAGCAGCAUAAAAUUCAGAUAUGCAUACAAGGAAUGGCUUUUCAAAGCUUUCUGGAUCAUACCAUUCAUCAAAGAUAACACUUUAAACUCUAAAACUCACAACAAAUAUAACUCACAAAAUAUUGAUCAAUAAAACUUUGGUUCAUUAUUCUCUCCAGUCAAUUAGUAAUAUAAUUGGAUGUCAACAUAACAUGUUCAAACAACUAUGUAUAAUGAAAAGAAUUACCUUGGUGGGAAGUGGUAAUAUUACCAUUGAUUCAGAGUUGAUUUAGCUUUUGAUCUUCUGGUCCCUCACCAGACUUCACGAGGCAAUAAGCUUGGGAAAUCAACAAAAGUACUNCCACCCCAGGUUGAAGAAAAAAGGGAACAAAGAAAUAAAUUAUAUAAUAGUAAUACCUUAAUUAGAUGGCUUGGACACGUAUUUUUCCUAAUUCGUUGUACCUGCUGGUUAGCAACAAGGCCAGGGCACUUGUAGUUACUUUUAUUUGAUAUUCUCCCUAUAUAUAGCCUGCAAUCAUAUAUCACAUUGAAGAAAAUUGAACUUGUUUAUGCAUAUCUAAGCAUACCUUAUUGAUCCUUCUCAUGUUUCACAAAGGUAAAAGUAACAUAAGCAAACCUAUUGUCAUGUCCAUCCG